AGGAAAUUGCGGCUUAUUUAAUAACAUUUGAGAAACAUGAAGAAUGGCUAACCACAUCCCCUAAGACAAGACCGCAGAAUGGCUCCAUGAUACUCUACAACAGGAAGAAAGUGAAGUACAGGAAGGACGGGUACUGUUGGAAGAAGAGGAAAGAUGGGAAAACGACCAGAGAGGACCACAUGAAGCUCAAAGUCCAGGGAGUGGAGGAUCCUGACUGACCCUGCACCGUGUUGCAGAUCUUCCGAUCAACUCAGAGCCUUUGGAGCACCUCUCAGGAGCUGACAUAUUUACAUACUAUGGAAUAGGUUCCUCG